rnacentral:rRNA from 1 species
GACGAACGCUGGCGGCGUGCCUAAUACAUGCAAGUUGAGCGCUGAAGGUUGGUCCUUGUACCAACUGGAUGAGCAGCGAACGGGUGAGUAACGCGUGGGGAAUCUGCCUUUGAGCGGGGGACAACAUUUGGAAACGAAUGCUAAUACCGCAUAAAAACUUUAAACACAAGUUUUAAGUUUGAAAGAUGCAAUUGCAUCACUCAAAGAUGAUCCCGCGUUGUAUUAGCUAGUUGGUGAGGUAAAGGCUCACCAAGGCGAUGAUACAUAGCCGACCUGAGAGGGUGAUCGGCCACAGUGGGACUGAGACACGGCCCAAACUCCUACGGGAGGCAGCAGUAGGGAAUCUUCGGCAAUGGACGAAAGUCUGACCGAGCAACGCCGCGUGAGUGAAGAAGGUUUUCGGAUCGUAAAACUCUGUUGGUAGAGAAGAACGUUGGUGAGAGUGGAAAGCUCAUAAAGUGACGGUAACUACCCAGAAAGGGACGGCUAACUACGUG